rnacentral:misc_RNA from 1 species
UACAGAGGGCUCGAGCGUUAAUCGGAAUCACUGGGCUUAAAGCGUACGUAGGCGGGCAUGUAGGCAUCGAGUGAAAUCCCACGGCUCAACCGUGGAAUAGCUCAGUGAACCACAUGUCUUGAGGCAAGUAGGGGCCGUCGGAACGAUAGGUGGAGCGGUGAAAUGCGUAGAUAUCUAUCGGAACGCCAAAGACGAAGGUAGGCGGCUGGGCUUGUCCUGACGCUCAGGUACGAAAGCGUGGGGAGCGAACGGG